rnacentral:rRNA from 1 species
GACGAACGCUGGCGGCGUGCUUAACACAUGCAAGUCGAACGAAGAGCGACGGAAGCUUGCUUCUAUCAAUCUUAGUGGCGAACGGGUGAGUAACGCGUAAUCAACCUGCCCUUCAGAGGGGGACAACAGUUGGAAACGACUGCUAAUACCGCAUACGAUCUAACCUCGGCAUCGAGGAUAGAUGAAAGGUGGCCUCUACAUGUAAGCUAUCACUGAAGGAGGGGAUUGCGUCUGAUUAGCUAGUUGGAGGGGUAACGGCCAACCAAGGCGAUGAUCAGUAGCCGGUCUGAGAGGAUGAACGGCCACAUUGGGACUGAGACACGGCCCAGACUCCUACGGGAGGCAGCAGUGGGGAAUCUUCCGCAAUGGACGAAAGUCUGACGGAGCAACGCCGCGUGAGUGAUGACGGCCUUCGGGUUGUAAAGCUCUGUUAAUCGGGACGAAAGGCCUUCUUGCGAAUAGGGAGAAGGAUUGACGGUACCGGAAUAGAAAGCCACGGCUAACUACGUG